UGGGCGGUGAUUCUGGGCUGGUGUGGUCAGGUGCACGAGCUGUUCAGGAUAUGUGGCCAUCAGUGAUCAGAACUGCUGCUUUUCCAACCAGCAUAAAUGCAUUUCGCUGUUCGGUGUUUCACUUCAGCAUUUCAAAAAGAACAUCCUCGAGUAUUACAGCGGCUGAAACUGCUGGAGGGGAACAGCAUGAAAAAUAACAGAAAAAUAAUCGCUUUGUAAGAAGUGGGGGCUGAUACCCAGAGGCAUCUUAACAACAAACAACCAGCAAAUCCUUCUCACAAAAGAGAGGUACUCAAACAAGGCAGCAUGCCUGCAUGACACCAAAUCCUGUUGAACAAAGCUUCUCUUGUAAGCCCUGCCCACUUGCUUACAGUAGAUAAAUACUACUAAACCUUUCCAAAGGAAGCUUUAAAUAAAAAAUAAAAUUUGAAAACAAGGAGUCUUGGCUGCUUGCCCAGUUGAAUGCCCAAGACAUAUUUUGACAGGCAACCGGUACAGAUAACUCAGAAGAAAAGUAAGGCCAAGUGUUCUGAUAAUUUAGAACUGUCUGGAUAAAUUGUGAGCCCCCAAAAUCAACUGGAGUGGAAACUAAGUAAUUUUAUUAAUAUGUUAGAUGCCAUCCUGGCUUGUAAUUUAACGUCUCUCCCUUUCUCUCCUACCUGCCAAGCACACGUCCAGUCGCACACAUCUGUUCUUUAUGAUACCAGACGUGCAUCUGAAGAAGAAAUCAGUAAAUACAGUGAGAUUUUCCAGAUGACAGUCAGUGAUCUGGAAGUUCAAAUCCCACUGAAUUUCUGCUUGGAAAUUUCACUAGUAAUUUGACCACA